AUACGGAGGAUGCAAGCGUUAUCCGGAUUUAUUGGGUUUAAAGGGUGCGUAGGCGGAUGAUUAAGCGUGAGGUGAAAUGCCACUGCUCAACAGUGGGACUGCCUCGCGAACUGGUUGUCUUGAAUGCUCCUGCCGUGGGAGGAAUGUGUGGUGUAGCGGUGAAAUGCAUAGAGAUCACACAGAACACCGAUUGCGAAGGCAUCUCACGAAGGGGUGAUUGACGCUGAGGCACGAAAGCGUGGGGAUCAAACAGGAUUAGAUACCCUGGUAGUCCACGCAGUAAACGAUGAUAACUAACCGCUGGGUCGUAGUGAUUCAGUGGCCAAGCGAAAGCGAUAAGUUAUCCACCUGGGGAGUACGACCGCAAGGUUGAAACUCAAAUGAAUUGACGGGG
rnacentral:rRNA from 1 species